rfam:Hanseniaspora opuntiae strain AWRI3578 Hanseniaspora_opuntiae_AWRI3578_scaffold4, whole genome shotgun sequence.
GAAUCUGUGGCGUAAUGGUAGCGCAUUGGAUUCCAAAUCCAAGGGUUGCAGGUUCAAGUCCUGUCAGGUUCA